rnacentral:RNase_P_RNA from 1 species
GGAGUCGACCAGACAGUCGCUCUACCUUCGGGUAGGGAGGAAAGUCCGGGCUCCACAGGGCAGAGUGCCAGAUAACGUCUGGGCGGCGCGAGCCGACGGCAAGUGCAGCAGAAAAUAUACCGCCUAAGUCUUUCGGGACCGGUAAGGUUGAAAUGGUGCGGUAAGAGCGCACCGCGUUGCUGGUAACAGUAGCGGCGAGGUAAACCCCACUCGGAGCAAGACCAAAUAGGAGGACAACGUGCGGCCCGCAUGGUUCUCGGGUAGGUUGCUUGAGGUCGAUGGCGACGUCGAUCCCAGAUGAAUGACUGUUCAAGACAGAACCCGGCUUAUCGGUCGGCUCCCACC